CCGGAGGUGGUCAUUUGGUCAACACGGGGGCUUUCAACCCUUUGGUCCAGGGUUCGAACCCUGCUACCGCA
rnacentral:tRNA from 1 species